CUCUCUGGGUGAGUCCUGGGCCCCAGCAAAGGGGAAGUGACUGUUUUCUGCUCAGCUAUCUCUUUCUCUUCCACAUGAGGCAAUUUCCCUUGGAGACCUUCCCACAACACACAGUGACAUGUAAAUAAAGCAUCUGAAAGCUAUGGUGAUCAGGAAACAGGCUGGCCAUCCAGGACCUGGCCAUGCUGGAACUCUCCCACCACCAGGAUCAGGUCUGGGACUGGGAAGGGCUGCAGUGAGAAAUUGGCCUUCGGGACUCCACUCAGAGACCCCGACUCCCACCACUUCUCCAUAUUUCCUUCCUUUUGUUCAGGACAGAAUUCCCUGUACCGUGGGCCUCUGCUGAGGUAGAAGGCAGUAACUGGUUCACGGGGAAGUCAGUGGCGCUGUUCUUGGCUUUGACUCAUAGCUCCUCAGCUGGUAGGAAGACUUAAUGCCCCACGACUUCUCUUGGAAAUGUCCUUUGUCUAGUGGCCAUUGGGGAUUCUCCUCUGGCUUCCCACAGAGCUCUUAACCAACCACAGUGGUACUUGCAGCUGUUCGUUGCUCUAUGUCAAUUGCUCAAUGAAGAAGGGAGUUUGUCUGUGUGGGCGACUGAGGGAAGGUGGUGAGAAUGACCACUUCUCCAGCCCCCACCCAAACACUGGCAUGUCACUGUACCUGAAGGAAUGAAGAAACUCUUGGCGGAGUCAGGAGGCACUUUGGUCUAAAGUGAGUGAGCCCCAUUCUCCUGGGGUGGGUCAGAUGAAGGUGACCUGCUGUGGAUACUGCUGGAGACACCAAGACAGGGAAAUCCUGGAUCACCUGUCAUGUUGGCUCCAAAGGAACUGCUGUUGUAAGUGGCUCAUCAAGAGUUGAAGUUCAUGUAGCCUUGUUGGGAAUAUGGAAAAGGAAGAAAGCCACAGGACUGCCCGUUCAGUCUGGGAAGAUCUGGAUGAUUCUGCACAUGCAAAAAUGACUUGAAAUUUAUGUAUAGACACUUUGGAGGCUGUCCUGGAACUAGCUCUUGUAGACCAGGCUGGUCUCGGAACUCACAGAGAUCCACCUGCCUCUGCCUCCCAGUGCUGGGAUUAAAGAUGUGCACUACCACCACCUGGCUAUCAACAGAGGAAGGAAUCUUAAAUGAUCAAAAGACACUUAAGGAAAUGCUCAACAUCCUUCAUCAUCAGAAUAAUGCAAAUCAAAACCACUCUGAGAUACCAUAUUACACCUGUCAGAAUGGCCAAGAUCAAAAAUUCUGAUGGUAGCUUAUGCUGGAGAGGAUGUAGAGUAAGGAGAACACUCCUCCAUUGCUGGUGGGAGGGCAAACUUGUACAGCCAUUUUGGCAAUCAGUAUACUGAUUUCUCAGAAAAUUGGGAAUCAACCUACCUAAAGAUCCAGCAAUACCACUUUUGGGUACAUACCCAAAGGAUGCAUACUUACACCACAAGGACAUUUGCUAAUCUAUGUUCAUAGCAACAUUAUUCAUAGUAGCCAGAACCUGAAAACAACCUAAAUAAUCCUCGACCAAAGAAUGGAUAAGGAAAAUGUACAUUUAUACAGUGGAGUACUACUCAGUGGUUAAAAAAAAACAAUGACAUCUUGAAAUUUACAGGCAAAUGGACAGAACUAGAAAAAGUUAUCCUGAGUGAGGUAACCAGACCCAAAAAGACAAAUAUAAUAUGUACUCACUCAUAAGUGGAUAUUAGACAUAAAAGGACAACCAGCUUACAGGCCACAACCCCAGAGAACUGAGGUAAGAAAGUGAACCCUAAGAAGGCAAACAUGAAUCCACCUAGGAAAGGAAAAUAGAUAUGAUCUCCUGAGUAAAUUGGGAUCAUGAGGGGCAGAGGGAAGGGUGGGGAGGGAGAGAGGAGGAGGGAAGAGGAGUGGGG
ensembl:lncRNA